CAAAACUCACAUAAGUAACAUAUUAUCAAAUAGAACUGGAAAUAGUGAGAAUAAACUUAAUGCACAUGAUACUCUGUGGAAUAUAUGUACUAAAAACGAGUUUUAUAGUAAUGCCAGUUUGUCACCUCUGAACAUGUUUUUUUUAUUAAGUCAAAAAAACAAGAAAUUGAAACAAAACGAAACGAAUUUUUUUAUUAAUCAGGAAUAUACUGAGACUGGAGUCGAUGAAGAAAAUGGUUGCAUGAAUUCCAACCAUGAUAAACAAAUUUGUAAUAUAAGUUCUACUGAUGAUAAAAAUAUUUUUUUUUCAUUUUUAAACAUUUUUAAAGAACAAUAUUUGUUCAAAACUAACGUUUUUAAAAAUAUUUUUCUUUUUUAUUUAAGAAAACAUUAUUUUUUAAUUUGUAAUAAAUUAAAAAACGAUACCGAUUUUAAUGAACUUCAAAAAAGAUUAUUUAAUUAUAUUUAUAAUAAUUAUAUACAAAAAAUAUCAAUAUUUGAUAUAAAUAAUUAUUUUAUAGAUUGCUGUUUUUUAUGUAAAGAGGAGUUUAGGUUUGAUUAUUCUUAUGAAUAUAAUGACUUUUAUUACACUGACGUCGUUUCGAUAGAUCUGAAUAAUAUGAUGGUGCAACCAAACGAAGGACAAAUAGACCAAUGUGUAGCUAAACAAUCAAAACCACUAACUGUAGUAGAUGUUAAAAAAAUUAAUAAAUCAAAUGAAGAAAGUAGUAUAUAUAAUAACAAAAUUUACGACAUAUUUGAUAAACAAAUGGCUGAAACACAUCAUGUAUUUAAUAAGAUAGAAAAUUGUUUAAAAGUAGAUGAGUGUAUAAUGGAAUAUGGGCUGAACGAUGUGAACAUGUCCGAAGAUACGUGUACCCAAACAAGUGCACUCGAUUUAUCGUCCUAUAUGUCCGUAAAAAUGAAUAGCCUUAUUGAAAAUGUAAAAACAUUAUUAGAUAAUAAUUGUGCUUUUCAAAAAACGGUUAUAGAAUCAAGUAUAGAUUAUAAUUACUUAAUAAAAAAUAAAAACAGUAAUAACACUACUGGUGGUAGUAAAACUAGCAAAAACAAACAAAAAAAAAAAAAACAAACAAAUAAUUCGGUUAAUUGUUAUAAUUAUUUAUUUACCAAAUUUUGUUUGCCAUAUGAAACUUUAAACAUGUUACACACUAUACAAAAGAAAAAUGAAAAUAAAAACAAAACAGAUGAUUAUUAUCAAAUAAGUCAUGAUAAUAUGGCACAGGAGGAGCAUACCAAUGGAAAUGUAUGCAUUGAUGAAGAAUGUCCAAAUGAAGAAAUCUCAAAUUAUGUAAUACAGUUAGACACAUUGACAGAAGAAAUAACACAGUCUGUUUUAAAAAAUAACUACGAUAAUAAUAUUGAAAUAAAAAAAAACCGAAAUAAAUUUAAAGAUAUAAUGGAAUGUUAUAUAUAUGAUGAUAAUAAUAAAAAAAGUGAUCAUAAUUAUAUCCAUUUUCCUUCUAAAAAUUAUACAUAUACAAAACCUACUUAUUUUCAUAAUUCAUGUUUUAAAAAUUAUAUAGAAUAUUAUAUAUUUCCUUAUUAUUUUUUAAAAAAAUUAAAUGAUGAAUAUUUAAAUAAAAUAAUUAUAUCUUCGAUUAUAACACUUUUUAAGGCUUACCAAAAUACAUGCAAAUAUGCAAAUAAUGACAAACAAAACAGUGAAAUCAAAUUAGAAAAAACACGUAGGUGCAAGUACAAAAGAAGGAAGCGGUUCUAGUCUAAUUGGUAGUAUAGCUGAGACAGAAUGAUGGAAGAAGUAACAACCAUGGUGAAGUAUUAUUACCAGCAUGUGAGAUAACAAACGUUUUUUUUUUUUUUUUUUUUUUUUUUGACACCGUUUUUUUUUGUAAUUGGUUUAAAUAAUUAAAAAAAAAUAAGCAAAAUGUUUAUUCAUAAAUUAUUUUUGUUUUUGUACAUAAAACAAAAGCAUGCUAAUUGUGUAAGAAAUAUUU
rnacentral:lncRNA from 1 species